rnacentral:rRNA from 1 species
GACGAACGCUGGCGGCGUGCCUAAUACAUGCAAGUAGAACGCUGAAGGAGGAGCUUGCUUCUCUGGAUGAGUUGCGAACGGGUGAGUAACGCGUAGGUAACCUGCCUGGUAGCGGGGGAUAACUAUUGGAAACGAUAGCUAAUACCGCAUAAGAGUAGAUGUUGCAUGACAUUUGCUUAAAAGGUGCAAUUGCAUCACUACCAGAUGGACCUGCGUUGUAUUAGCUAGUUGGUGAGGUAACGGCUCACCAAGGCAACGAUACAUAGCCGACCUGAGAGGGGGAUCGGCCAAAAUGGGACUGGGACCAGGCCCAGACUCCUACGGGAGGCAGCAGUAGGGAAUCUUCGGCAAUGGACGGAAGUCUGACCGAGCAACGCCGCGUGAGUGAAGAAGGUUUUCGGAUCGUAAAGCUCUGUUGUAAGAGAAGAACGAGUGUGAGAGUGGAAAGUUCACACUGUGACGGUAUCUGACCAGAAGGGGACGGCUAACUACGUG